rnacentral:lncRNA from 1 species
GGGAAUUAUUCUUAGAUAUAUAAUUAGACGAUUAGAAUCAGUUUUAUUAAAUAAGAGCGAGUAGGAGUUGAGGUUUUUAUGUUUCAGCUAAACUAGUCGAAAUUUCAGUCUGAAGAGAAUCUAUGGCUGAAUGAUAAUUAUGAAUCUAUGGCUGAAUGAUAAUUAUGUUUGUUAUGUGAUUUGUUUUGGGUAAAUAAUCGAAACCGUUAAAGCCUUCGAC